GACGAACGCUGGCGGCGUGCCUAAUACAUGCAAGUUGAGCGCUGAAGGUUGGUACUUGUACCAACUGGAUGAGCAGCGAACGGGUGAGUAACGCGUGGGGAAUCUGCCUUUGAGCGGGGGACAACAUUUGGAAACGAAUGCUAAUACCGCAUAAAAACUUUAAACACAAGUUUAAAGUUUGAAAGAUGCAAUUGCAUCACUCAAAGAUGAUCCCGCGUUGUAUUAGCUAGUUGGUGAGGUAAAGGCUCACCAAGGCGAUGAUACAUAGCCGACCUGAGAGGGUGAUCGGCCACAUUGGGACUGAGACACGGCCCAAACUCCUACGGGAGGCAGCAGUAGGGAAUCUUCGGCAAUGGACGAAAGUCUGACCGAGCAACGCCGCGUGAGUGAAGAAGGUUUUCGGAUCGUAAAACUCUGUUGGUAGAGAAGAACGUUGGUGAGAGUGGAAAGCUCAUCAAGUGACGGUAACUACCCAGAAAGGGACGGCUAACUACGUG
rnacentral:rRNA from 1 species